CCGGCGCUGCCCCGGCGAGGCGGGGCCGGGCGGGAGCGGCCCGAGCGCGGCUCCGCUCGGCUCCUGUGCGGCUGCCGCGGGGCCGGGGCCGGCAGCGAUGGUGGCCGCGCCGGGGCCGCGGCUGCUGGCCUUGGCCUUGGCCCUGUGGCCGGCAGGGCUCGGGGCACAGCCGAGGCUGCAGGAGGCCGGCGGAGGGCUGCGAGCGCCCGGGGACUCCGUCACCCUCUCCUGCCGCGGCUCCGGAUACCCGUUUAGGAGUCAUGGGAUUUAUUGGUACCGUCAGGCACUCGGAGGCAGCCUCGACAGUCACUGGCCAGGUGACCUUGGAGCAGCAACCCAGGGGAGUGACCGUGCAAGAGGGAAAUGAAGUCACCUUCCACUGCAGCAUGAAGGGACAUGCUAUGAGCAACUACUACAUGUACUGGUACCGUCAGGGCCCACAGGGCAAGGAAUGGAUUUCCACAGAUGGUUCUACAUAUGAAGGUUUUAAAGAUCGCUUUGAGGCAAGACUGGAGAGUUUCAAGAACAGCUACACACUGCAGCUCCUGGCAGCAGAGCAAGGGGAUGCAGCUACGUAUUACUGUAGAGCAGACACACCCUGGAGCAGCUGUGCAGCAGAGUGA